AAACUUGUCUAGAUAUCUAUGCAACCGCUUGUUGCAUAUACACACCUUUAUUUAUACCUAACAUCUCACGUGAGGUGGUCCACCGUGAGCUAUUUAUGCUCAUUGAAGCAAAUCAACAAAUAAUAAAGGAAAAGAUUUGUCAGUUUUCUGUUAUAUAUAUUUGUGAACUUGGCCUAGAAACAGGUGAUUGGUGUUGAGGGGAGACGACAACUAUUAUGUAUAGUCUGCAUUAUACACUCACGGUAUUAGUACCAUUGGUAACUGUUGUCCAGGGAUGGCCUGCGUUAGCGCAAGAUCCAUUAAUACCAGUACGAGUACGUCCUUCACCUAACAAUCCAAUACAGACAUUGUGUGAUGGAGAACAAUGCAAGAAGAUUAGAACCUCAAAAAUACUUAGAUAUUACGACGGAUUGUUUCACACAGAGCAAGAAAUCAACGUUAAAUUAAGAGAAUGGGACAAGUUACAUCUUCAAAAGUAUGAAAAAACAUUUUUAUCUGCAGUCUGCCGGCUCCAGUCGUUUAAAUCGAUCAAAAUAUGUCGAAAUCUUCAGAAACCGAAUAGUGAUUAUGAUAUGUGUUGCCCUACGGUUCGUUAUUUCCAUAAAAAUGAAACUUUGGUAAACAUAAAUAAUGAAUUGAAAGUUCUUGUUAAAUUAUCUGAUCCUGAUAGAUUUCAAUUUAUUCCUCAUGCUAAGUGUCUGAGAACAGGGGCAUGUUCUGGUGGAUUUGGGCGAUGCGAAACAGAUACUAUAGAAAUUCUAAUAUUAGUUGUCGAUUUUGGAAGUUCCCUAUAUUGUACAUUUGAAAAGUUUGCAAUCCCAGCUUACUGUUCUUGUAAAUCCAUUUAAUAUAAGUCUCUUGUCGUUAUUUUGGGGAUUUUUACUCUCUUGCCAAUUAUUGAUACAAAAUCGUGUAUAAAAUUCUACAAAAUGUUCGGUAAGAAAGAGGUUUUGUUUUCGAAAGCCGUUUUUUUUUCUUUUUUUUUGUGGAUUUCAAUCACUCUAGAUAGUCAAAACUGUGUAUGGUGGAAACAUUCUGCCAUCGUAGAUUUUAUUGGCCUCCGUGCAACUAUUUAUUAAAUAUAAAUUGGGUUAGUUUUUAUAGUUUUAAAUUGCCCACAUCUCGUUUAUUUCUGGUCGACUCUUCGAUGGGUUUUCUAUUUUGGAUUGUUUGGACAAAUCCCAUUGGGGAUCUCACAGACGUUUUUUUUGAAAUUCGCAAUUUUCUACGCUUAGAUUUAGAAUCAAGAUUCUCACAAAUUUUCUUCGGCGUUUUUGCGACAUUCAAGAUGGCGUAUCUCCGUCACUAUUUGAGAUAUCGGUUUGAAACUUGGUAGGAAUAAGGAACACAUCGAUGCCCUCAGAAUGGCAUAUAUAAAAAGACUUGUGAUGGCUUCCGUAAACUUCCGAAAACUACCGAGGCCUUCCGAUUGUUCCCGACCAUGAACAGUUCUCUCCAUUUUAAAAAUAUAAUUUAUAAAGAGAUCAAUGAAUUCAAAAUGGCAUAUAAAAUUAGGAUGAUUUGUAUACAUGUACUUAAUAACCAUGGGGUUUAUUUUACAAAGUUCUUUUAUACUAAUACAGUAACAUCUAACAGACCUGUUAGCUAUUUUGCGUUCUGGAAGGUAUUCAAUCAGAAUGAACUGCCUCGGAGAAACACUGUACUCGCAAAGAAUGACAAAAAUUGAAGAUUAAGUAGAUGAUUUAAGAAGAUUAUGUCGUCAAAAAUAGCGCAGGCGGAAAAUGGGGGAAUCCAAGUCCAAGCAUCAUACAUUUCAGCUCAUUUCAUUUCAUAGUUAAUUUGUUCACAGAGCCGUCAAACGGUGUCAAUAUCUUGCAUAGCCUCCUCUUCAUUGCCUGGAUGAGACUGAUCUGAGCUUGUGUUAGUCCGUUCCAUUCCUUGUAUAGUGCCUGAUCCAAAUGGAUAUGAUUCUGCACGGGCAAUCCUCUGGCGGAUAUUACAUCAAAGAUUAUCUCAGAUAUGCUGGAUGGAUUCAUACCAUUGCUAGUGUAACAACGGACUCCCAACGCAAAAACCUAACAAUGGCGCGAUCUGGCGUUGUCGUUUAUAAAGAUUGGCCAAAUGAGAAUAGGGUGGUUGUCAAAGUCGAGUAGUACAUCACUGUCCAGGAUCUCUCUCUCUCUCUCUCUCUCUCGCUCUCUCUGGUGUCGCAGGCCAUAGAGUAUUACCUCUGACUGUUACCAGUGGAAGCUUUCGGUCAUGUGAAAACCAAACCAAUAUCAUGACAGAGCCCCUGCCGAAUGGAACAUGGUAUAGGAUGUUCAUGGUCCUCUGUGCAUAUACCAUGUUCCUACGUCGCUAUACCUUUGGUCUGGGGGGUUGGAUGGCUGAAUGGUUAGCGUGCGCGCGCUGUAUCAUACAGUCUGUCAUUGAGUCGACUGGCGUGGUUUCGAAUCCCCGGUUGUACGUGGCAAGGAGUAGGGGCGCCUGUCCAACCUCGUGGGUUUUCUCCGGGUCCUCCGGUUUCCUCCCACAGCUAAAGACCCCUACGCGCAAGCGAAUUAUGGAAAUAAAAUUAAACCAUAUGUUAGUCCCGAAAUGACCUAGUUUGUGUCGAGUGGACGUUAAACCCCAUUUCUCUCUCUCUCUAUACCUUUGGUCUAACAUUCGUCAUGAACAAGAGAAAGUCACUGGCACUAUCAGUGAAUUCUUAUGCUUCACUAUGACACUAUGUUUCAAUGAUUGCGUGCUUGGACCCAUUCUAGUCUUAUGGUGAAUAGACAAGAGACUUAGUCUGGUGGUUAGAUCUAUUUCACAUGCACACCUGCAGAUUUCGUCAUAGGUCACGAAAUGUAAACCAAGACCUAGUCGUAAGCAUUACCUUAACCCUAACCCACAAUCAUCGGCAACAAUCACGUGUCGAAACCCUGUGUACAUAUCGUGACCUGUGACAAAAUCUUCAGGUGUGCAUGUGAAAUAGAUAGAUUUAGCCUCGUCUGAUAGGUAUUAUAGUGUCAUAUCCAACGGAUUUGAGACGACUACGAAAAGUUCUGUAAGAUAUCGGCAGUAACCAUUCCCUUUUCAACAUAGUGCUUGGUGCAUAUACACAUAUCCAUGUAACUAUAAAAUCUUCAAGUUGUAUAUUUAAUAUUAUAAAAAUACCUUCAUUAUUAACAUUAAAGAUGCAUUAUGUAAGAUUUAGAUAAAGAGUUUGUUGAUCUUGCUGUAACAAAAAUUAUGAAAAGUGAAUAUAUUACAAAUUUUCUUUAUACGGAGCGAUGUUAUGAAUGUUUUAAGUUUUAACAAAAAAUAGCGUAAAUAGUUUCAAUUGUCAAGUACCAUUGCAAUAAUAAUUAAAUCUCGAUAUUCCAUUUUGUCGUCGCCCCUGUCCGUCCGUCCACAAUUGUUUGUGAACAGUCUACGGGUCACAAUUUUUAUCCGAUUUCAAUGAAACUUGAAAUAUAGGUUUAUCACCCUAAGAUCUCGGUUCCUUUCGAUAUUGGCAUGUAUCGGACUGUAACUUCAUGGAUUAUGGCCCCUGAAUGUACGAAAAAUCACGUUUUUAGCUUGUGAACACUGUAGAAGUCACAAUUUUUAUCGGAUUUAGUUUAAACUUGAAAUGUAUGCUUAUAACCCAAAGAUCUCGGUUCCUUUCGAUAUUUGCGCAUAUCGAAUUGUAAUUUCCUGAAAAAUCACUUUCUUUUCAGCUUGUUCUCUAUCCAUCUCUCGAAAAUGUGGGCGUAUCCUGGUAUGCUGGUAACAUUAUACGAAGAUGUGGCAUGCAUUGUCUAUUCCGCUUAAUAUCUCAGGCAUCCGAUUUCUAUAUAAUUGAUUAUGGAUUGCCAUGUGAAUAAGUGUCUGAAUUAUUGUUUAUGACAUUUGAAGCCAAAAUAAAGACCCGCAAUGUGCAGAUUUAGAUCUUACAUAAGGUAUCUUUAAUGGUUCGCCAAUCACCUUUAUUUAUCUACCAGAAUAUAUAAAUGUUUUGAUUUUAUAGUAUAUUUGUUAAAAUAUUAAUGUUAUUAUAAUUGAUAAAAUGAGUUCAUUAAUCUAAUAGCCAUUAAAUGCUGUUGAUUCAAAAAGUAAAUUGUAAACACAUCAUAUUUACAUCGUUUCCCAUCAUAUUGCAUAUAUUAUUGAAACACCCAUCAUUUAUAAUAAAAAUUAUAUUUCAGAAGCAAACAGAAUGCAUAGCUGAUAGCUUGAAAUGAUGGCAAUGCUACUACAUUAACAGAAAACAAUUUAUACAGGAAGAAUCACUAAGUACUGGGUUUAUUCUAAAAGCACGACGUUUCAACACGUAUCCUCUUAUUGUUAUCAAGCACAUCGUCAUACUUUUAGCAUAAAAUCAGUGAUUGUUUCCGAUAUUCAUUGUGUUCUGUUAAUGUGUUUCCCAACCGCUUAAUGCCACCCAAAAAUUAGGUUUAUUACAGGUUGAUUUAAAUAAAAUAAACAAUUCAUACUCCCAUACGGGUUUUUUUUCUGGUCUUCUUGAUUUGGGCGGUGCAGGAGACUGUACUUGAUUCAGAAUCUCAUAUUUCUGUGUUAGUGUAUAAAUAUAAUCAUUAAUAUCACUUUGUUGAGAAUUUGUCACAAUUGUCCUAUCAAAGUUUAUAUUGUUGCUGUGUCCAAACAAAACGUAUUUAUUUCUUAAUAAAAGUUAAUAUUUAUGCAAA